rnacentral:rRNA from 1 species
GACGAACGCUGGCGGCGUGCUUAACACAUGCAAGUCGAACGGAAAGGCCCUGCUUUUGUGGGGUGCUCGAGUGGCGAACGGGUGAGUAACACGUGAGUAACCUGCCCUUGACUUUGGGAUAACUUCAGGAAACUGGGGCUAAUACCGGAUAGGAGCUCCUGCUGCAUGGUGGGGGUUGGAAAGUUUCGGCGGUUGGGGAUGGACUCGCGGCUUAUCAGCUUGUUGGUGGGGUAGUGGCUUACCAAGGCUUUGACGGGUAGCCGGCCUGAGAGGGUGGCCGGCCACAUUGGGACUGAGAUACGGCCCAGACUCCUACGGGAGGCAGCAGUGGGGAAUAUUGCACAAUGGGCGGAAGCCUGAUGCAGCAACGCCGCGUGCGGGAUGACGGCCUUCGGGUUGUAAACCGCUUUCGCCUGUGACGAAGCGUGAGUGACGGUAAUGGGUAAAGAAGCACCGGCUAACUACGUGCCAGCAGCCGCGGUGAUACGUAGGGUGCGAGCGUUGUCCGGAUUUAUUGGGCGUAAAGGGCUCGUAGGUGGUUGAUCGCGUCGGAAGUGUAAUCUUGGGGCUUAACCCUGAGCGUGCUUUCGAUACGGGUUGACUUGAGGAAGGUAGGGGAGAAUGGAAUUCCUGGUGGAGCGGUGGAAUGCGCAGAUAUCAGGAGGAACACCAGUGGCGAAGGCGGUUCUCUGGGCCUUUCCUGACGCUGAGGAGCGAAAGCGUGGGGAGCGAACAGGCUUAGAUACCCUGGUAGUCCACGCUGUAAACGGUGGGUACUAGGUGUGGGGUCCAUUCCACGGGUUCCGUGCCGUAGCUAACGCUUUAAGUACCCCGCCUGGGGAGUACGGCCGCAAGGCUAAAACUCAAAGGAAUUGACGGGGCCCCGCACAAGCGGCGGAGCAUGCGGAUUAAUUCGAUGCAACGCGUAGAACCUUACCUGGGUUUGACAUGGAUCGGGAGUGCUCAGAGAUGGGUGUGCCUCUUUUGGGGUCGGUUCACAGGUGGUGCAUGCCUGUCGUCAGCUCGUGUCGUGAGAUGUUGGGUUAAGUCCCGCAACGAGCGCAACCCUUGUUCACUGUUGCCAGCACGUUAUGGUGGGGACUCAGUGGAGACCGCCGGGGUCAACUCGGAGGAAGGUGGGGAUGACGUCAAGUCAUCAUGCCCCUUAUGUCCAGGGCUUCACGCAUGCUACAAUGGCUGGUACAGAGGGUGGCGAGCCUGUGAGGGUGAGCGAAUCUCGGAAAGCCGGUCUCAGUUCGGAUUGGGGUCUGCAACUCGACCUCAUGAAGUCGGAGUCGCUAGUAAUCGCAGAUCAGCAACGCUGCGGUGAAUACGUUCCCGGG